GUUUUUCAAUAUUUCACUUUUAGCUAAAGUCUUGAAAUUUCUACACCAAAUAGCGUUUUUCAAUAGCUUCAAUUUGAUAUAUAGCCCAACGUUCAGUGUUGAGUAUUUCUGCUCAUAACUCAGAAAAACUAAAAUGCACUGGUUUCAAUCCCCCCACCCCCUGAGUUAGCCUUCCAGUUUAUUUAUAGUUCAAUGGUUUCACCAAGCCUUUGACAUGGUGCUCACAUGGUAAUAAAUCAGUUGGACAGUAUAUGAUACAAUGUAUUUGGGUUUGCCAUCAGACACAAA